ensembl:lncRNA
GGGCCGCAGUGCCCCCCCGCACUCAGCCAUUCCCCCCCCCCAACCCCGCAGCUGCCGCCGUCCGUCCGUCCGUCCGUCCCCGUCCGUCUGUCCCCAUCCAUCACCGCAGGCCGUCCCCAUCCCCGUCCGUCUGUCCCCAUCUGUCCCUCUGUCCGUCCCCGUCCCUCUGUCCCCAUCUGUCCCUCUGUCCUCCCUGCCCCUGGCCGGCUGUCCCCAUCUGUGUCCGUCUGUCUGUCCUGAUCCCCAUCUGUCCCCAUAUGUCCGUCUGUCCCCCUCCACGUCCGUCUGUCUGUCCUUAUCCCCAUCCGGCCCCGUCUGUCCGUCUGUCCCCAUCCAUGUCCGUCUGUCUGUCCCCAUCCGUGUCCGUCUGUCUGUCUGUCCCCAUCUGUCUGUCUGUCCCCCUCUGUGUCUGUCUGUCUGUCCCCAUCUGUGUCUGUCUGUCUGUCCCCAUUCGUGUCUGUCUGUCUGUCCCCAUCUGUGUCUGUCUGUCCCCAUCUGUCUGUGUCCGUCUGUCCCCAUCCAUGUCUGUCUGUCUGUCCCCAUCCGUGUCCGUCUGUCCGUCUGUCCCCAUCUGUCCGUCUGUCUGUCCCCAUCUGUGUCUGUCUGUCCCCAUCCAUGUCCAUCUGUCCUUAUCACUGUCUGUCUGUCCGUCCCCAUCUGUGUCCCCUUCUCCCUAUGUCCGUCUGUCCCCCUCCACGUCCGUCUGUCUGUCCUUAUCCCCAUCUGUCUCCGUCUGUCCGUCUGUCUGUCCCUAUCCGUGUCCGUCUGUCCCCCUCCACGUCCAUCUGUCCGUCUGUCCCCAUCCGUGUCCGUCCGUCUGUCCUUAUCCCCAUCUGGCCCCAUCUGUCCGUCUGUCCUCCUCCACGUCCGUCUGUCUGUCCCGGUCUGUCUGUCUGUCUGUCCUUAUCCCCAUCUGGCCCCAUAUGUCCGUCUGUCCCCAUCUGUCCCUGUCCCCGUCUGUCCGUCUGUCCCCAUCCACGUCCGUCUGUCUGUCCUUAUCCCCAUCUGUCCCCGUCUGUCCGUCUGUCCCCCUCCAUGUCUGUCUGUCUGUCCUUAUCCCCAUCUGUCCCCACUGCCGUCUGUCCCCAUCCAUGUCCGUCUGUCUGUCCUUAUCCCCAUCUGUCCCCAUCUGUCCGUCUGUCCCCAUCUGUCCCUGUCCCCGUCUGUCCGUCUGUCCCCAUCCGUGUCCGUCCGUCUGUCCUUAUCCCCAUCUGGCCCCGUAUGUCCCUAUGCCGUCUGUCCCCAUCCACGUCUGUCUGUCUGUCCCCAUCCCUGUCCAUCUGUCUGUCCUUAUCGCCGUCUGUCCGUCUGUCCCCAUCUGUCCCGGUCCCCGUCUGUCCGUCUGUCCCGCUGCACGUCCGUCUGUCUGUCUGUUGUCUGUCUGUCUGUCCUUAUCCCCAUCUGGCCCCAUAUGUCCAUCUGUCCCUAUCUGUGUCCGUCUGUCCCACUCCACGUCCGUCUGUCUGUCCUUAUCCCCAUCUGUCUUUCUGUCCCCAUCUGUCCCUGUCCCCGUCUGUCCGUCUGUCCCUAUCCGUGUCUGUCUGUCCUCCUCCACGUCCGUCUGUCUGUCCCGGUCUGUCCGUCUGUCUGUCCUUAUCCCCGUCUGUCUGUCUGUCCCCAUCUGUCCCAGUCCCCGUCUGUCCGUCUGUCCCCAUCAGUGUCCGUCUGUCCCCCUCCACGUCCGUCUGUCUGUCCUUAUCCCCAUCUGUCCCCAUCUGUCCCAGUCCCCGUCCGUCUGUCUGUCCCCAUCAGUGUCCGUCUGUCCCCCUCCACGUCCGUCUGUCUGUCCCGGUCCAUCUGUCUGUCUGUCCUUAUCCCCAUCUGGCCCCAUAUGUCCCCAUCGCCGUCUGUCCCCAUCCACGUCCGUCCGUCUGUCCCCAUCUGUGUCCGUCUGUCCCCAUCUGUCCGUCUGUCUGUCCAUAUCCCCAUCCGUCUCCGUCUGUCCGUCUGUCCCCAUCUGUGUCUGUCUGUCCCCAUCCAUGUCCGUCUGUCUGUCCCCAUCCGUGUCCAUCUGUCUGUCCCCAUCCAUGUCUGUCUGUCUGUCCCCAUCCAUGUCUGUCUGUCCCCAUCUGUGUCCGUCUGUCUGUCCCCAUCUGUGUCCGUCUGUCCCCAUCUGUGUCUGUCUGUCCCCAUCCACGUCCGUCUGUCUGUCCCCAUCUGUGUCCGUCUGUCCCCAUCUGUGUCUGUCUGUCCCCAUCCAUGUCCAUCUGUCCUUAUCACUGUCUGUCUGUCCGUCCCCAUCUGUGUCCCCUUCUCCCUAUGUCCGUCUGUCCUCCUCCACGUCCGUCUGUCUGUCCUUAUCCCCAUCUGUCCCCGUCUGUCCGUCUGUCCCGCUGCACGUCCGUCUGUCUGUCUGUUGUCUGUCUGUCUGUCCUUAUCCCCAUCUGGCCCCAUAUGUCCAUCUGUCCCUAUCUGUGUCCGUCUGUCCUCCUCCACGUCCGUCUGUCUGUCCUUAUCGCCAUCUGUCCGUCUGUCCCCAUCUGUCCCCCUCCCCGUCUGUCCGUCUGUCCCCCUCCACGUCUGUCUGUCUGUCCCGGUCUGUCUGUCUGUCUGUCCUUAUCCCCAUCUGUCUCUGUCUGUCCCCAUCUGUCCCCAUAUGUCCGUCUGUCCCACUCCACGUCCGUCUGUCUGUCCUUAUCCCCAUCUGUCUUUCUGUCCCCAUCUGUCCCUGUCCCCGUCUGUCCGUCUGUCCCUAUCCGUGUCUGUCUGUCCUCCUCCACGUCCGUCUGUCUGUCCCGGUCUGUCCGUCUGUCUGUCCUUAUCCCCGUCUGUCUGUCUGUCCCCAUCUGUCCCAGUCCCCGUCCGUCCGUCUGUCCCCAUCAGUGUCCGUCUGUCCCCCUCCACGUCCGUCUGUCUGUCCCGGUCCAUCUGUCUGUCUGUCCUUAUCCCUAUCUGGCCCCAUAUGUCCGUCUGUCCCCAUCCACGUCCGUCUGUCUGUCCCCAUCUGUGUCUGUCUGUCCCCAUCCAUGUCUGUCUGUCCUUAUCACUGUCUGUCUGUCCGUCCCCAUCUGUGUCCCCUUCUCCCUAUGUCCGUCUGUCCCCCUCCACGUCCGUCUGUCUGUCCCGGUCUGUCUGUCUGUCUGUCCUUAUCCCCAUCUGGCCCCAUAUGUCCGUCUGUCCCCAUCUGUUCCUGUCCGUGUCUGUCCGUCUGUCCCCAUCCGUGUCUGUCUGUCUGUCCUUAUCCCCAUCCAUCUCUGUCU